rnacentral:tRNA from 1 species
GGCGGCGUAGAGUAAUAGAAACUCGUCGGACUCCUAAUGCAAUAGCAUGGAGACAGCCGAAGAUUCCGGGUGCAAGUCCCGGCGUCGUCU